GCUGGUGCAAUGAUUAUAUAACAUUCCUCGUACUGAAGGGAGAUCCCUCUGAACGACACCUAUACACCCAUAGAAUCUGAGCACG
rnacentral:snoRNA from 1 species